AACAAAGCAAAUUACUUGCCAGUAUAUUGUUUUUGCACCAGAAUUAGUCUUAGCUUUUGGAAGCUUCUGAUUUGGAGAGGAAAGAUAGGUACCCUUGACAUCAGCAAAUGUCCUUUUUCUUAUGACAGAUAAUGCUUUUUGGGGCCUUGUGAUUAUACGCUGUCUACAACCAGAAAAGAAAGAAUAGCAGUGUUCCAAUAUUUGAGGGCUGUCACAGAGAGCAGGGAGUCAACCUAUUUUCCAAAACACCUGAAGGCUAGACAAGGAAUAAUGGAUGCAAGCUGAUCAAGGAGAGAUUCAACCUAGAAAUAAGGAGAAAUUUUCUGACAGUGAGAACAAUCAACCAAUGGAACAGCUUGCCUUCAGAAGUUGUCAGAGCUUCAUCACUGGAGCCUUUCAAGAAGAGACUGGACAGCCGUCUGUCAGAAACGCUCAGAAAACCCAGAGACAGAUGUAACAGCUGCUGCAACUGCUGGAAACUAAGCCCUUUUCAUUUUUUUUAAAAAAAUUCCACUCCUACCAACCAUCCAUGUGCUCUCCUUCAGUUACAACACUUUCAGAGAAGACUGAGUUCAAAGGCAUACUGAAAAGUCCAACAUUAGGGGGAGGAUAUUUGAGUCCUUGUGUCCAGACUUUGUGGCUUUACAAAACUCAGGUCAACAGUAAGCUUCAAAUAACAAUUAAAAAUAGUAUUGAAAGCA